rnacentral:rRNA from 1 species
GACGAACGCUGGCGGCGUGCUUCAUACAUGCAAGUCGAACGGAGCCCACCCCCGAUGGCAACAUCGGGAAAAGCUCAGUGGCGAACGGGUGCGUAACACGUGAGCAACCUACCCCGACGACCGGAAUAACAUCGGGAAACCGGUGCUAAUGCCGGAUGCCCCCACCGGCCCGCAUGGGCUGGUGAGGAAAGGAUCCCGCAUCGGGAGGGGCUCGCGGCCUAUCAGCUAGUUGGUGGGGUAACGGCCUACCAAGGCUUCGACGGGUAGCUGGUCUGAG